AGUACUAUAGCAUGAGAAAAGAUGAUCCCUGAAUCUUUCAGUCUUCUUGGAGAAUCCAACCUUCCAUUUGAGAGUAGGCAGGAUAGUCCCAGAACAAUGCUAACCUAGGCUGCUGACUUUUGGCACCAUCAUUAAAUCUAACAGGUAUAGCUGGCCAAUUUCUAGCACUCCAUCACGCAGAAUACUCUUUCCUUCCUUGUCACCAAACGCUGCCCAGUGACCUGCCAUCAUCAACAUUUCCCUUUCCUAGGUGGAGGCGGCGGGACCCUGUUCACAGAUUGUUAGACUUGAGUAAGAAGAUGAGACUCACAGGUUCUUCUAAUGUCAAGAUCAGCAACACUCUCAACAAGUAUGUCCACAGCUGCCAGAGCUUGGAGAAUGAAAGGGCAAAGCCAUUAAUGGGCAGAAGGCUCCUCGGCUUCCAUGCUCUAGAGUAAAGAUUCUAUGGCAGAGUCAAAAAGGGUCCCUAAAGGAAGCAUGGCUCGAGGAGAGGAAUUACAAAUGUCUCCAUCAGUCUGGGGUGGUGAGGAAAGGGAAGGGAAGCAUUGCACCCUGUUCUCUUGAAGGUCCCAAGCCUAAGGUGCUUCCUGGUACUGCUUCUGAUUCUCCUGACCUGGCCUCCAGAUUCUGCAGCUUUCUAACCCUAAAACUUCCAUAGGAUCUUCUUAUCUUGGAACAUUUCUUAACUCUGAUGUCCUCUUCUCCUGUUGAAUGUAAGCUCCUUGAUGAUUCAAGCCAGUUCCAAUGAUCUUAUGAUGAAGAAAGCCAUCUACAUACACCCAGAGAAAGGACUGUGGGAGCUGAGGGUGGAUCACAACAUAGCAUUCUCAUUCUCUCUGCUGUUGUUUGCUUACAUUUUAUUUUCUUUCUCUCUUUUUUUUUUUUUUUUUUACUUUUUGAUUUGAUUUUUCUUGUGCAGCAAGAUAAUUGUAUAAAUAUGUAUGCAUAAACAUAUUUAACAAAUAUAGGACUGCUUGCCAUCUAGGGGAGGGGGUGGAGAGAGGGAGGGGGAAAAUCAG